rnacentral:rRNA from 1 species
GAUGAACGCUGGCGGCGUGCCUAAUACAUGCAAGUCGAGCGAACAGAUAAGGAGCUUGCUCCUUUGACGUUAGCGGCGGACGGGUGAGUAACACGUGGAUAACCUACCUAUAAGACUGGAAUAACUCCGGGAAACCGGGGCUAAUGCAGGAUAACAUAUUGAACCGCAUGGUUCAACAGUGAAAGGCGGCUUUGCUGUCACUUAUAGAUGGACCCGCGCCGUAUUAGCUAGUUGGUGAGGUAACGGCUCACCAAGGCAACGAUACGUAGCCGACCUGAGAGGGUGAUCGGCCACACUGGAACUGAGACACGGUCCAGACUCCUACGGGAGGCAGCAGUAGGGAAUCUUCCGCAAUGGGCGAAAGCCUGACGGAGCAACGCCGCGUGAGUGAUGAAGGUCUUCGGAUCGUAAAACUCUGUUAUUAGGGAAGAACAAAUGCGUAAGUAACUGUGCGCGUCUUGACGGUACCUAAUCAGAAAGCCACGGCUAACUACGUG